UACGUAGGGGGCUAGCGUUGUCCGGAAUCAUUGGGCGUAAAGCGCGUGUAGGCGGUCCGGUAAGUCCGCUGUGAAAGUCGGGGGCUCAACCCUCGGAUGCCGGUGGAUACUGUCGGGCUUGAGUACGGAAGAGGCGAGUGGAAUUCCUGGUGUAGCGGUGAAAUGCGCAGAUAUCAGGAGGAACACCAAUUGCGAAGGCAGCUCGCUGGGACGUUACUGACGCUGAGACGCGAAAGCGUGGGUAGCAAACAGG
rnacentral:rRNA from 1 species